GACAGAGGCCUCGAGCGUUAGGCGGAAUCACUGGGCUUAAAGCGUGUGUAGGCGGAUCGUUAAGUACCUUGUGAAAUCCCACGGCUACACGUGGAACGGCUGGGUAUACUGGCGGUCUUGGCCAUUCAGGGGCGACUGGAACAAACGGUGGAGCGGUGAAAUGCGUAGAUAUCGUUUGGAACGCCAAUGGUGAAAACAGGUCGCUGGGGAUGAGCUGACGCUGAGACACGAAAGCCAGGGGAGCAAACGGG
rnacentral:rRNA from 1 species